rnacentral:misc_RNA from 1 species
GAGACUCUGCCCUUUGGGUAGACCUCCCACCCUGUGUCGUUAUACCUUUGUUGCUUUGGCGGGCCGCGGGGCCCCGGCCCCGCCCCUGGCUCCGGCUAGGGCGCGCCCGCCAGAGGACCUCAAAACCUGAAUGUUAGUGUCGUCUGAGUACUAUAUAAUAGUUA